rnacentral:rRNA from 1 species
UACGUAGGGGGCAAGCGUUGUCCGGAUUUAUUGGGCGUAAAGAGCGUGUAGGCGGCCAUGCAGGUCCGCUGUGAAAACUCGAGGCUCAACCUCGAGACGUCGGUGGAAACCGUUUGGCUAGAGUCCGGAAGAGGAGAGUGGAAUUCCCGGUGUAGCGGUGAAAUGCGCAGAUAUCGGGAAGAACACCCGUGGCGAAGGCGGCUCUCUGGGACGGUACUGACGCUGAGACGCGAAAGCGUGGGGAGCGAACAGG